rnacentral:rRNA from 1 species
UACGAAGGGGGCUAGCGUUGCUCGGAAUCACUGGGCGUAAAGGGUGCGUAGGCGGGUCUUUAAGUCAGGGGGGAAAUCCUGGAGCUCAACUCCAGAACUGCCUUUGAUACUGAAGAUCUUGAGUUCGGGAGAGGUGAGUGGAACUGCGAGUGUAGAGGUGAAAUUCGUAGAUAUUCGCAAGAACACCAGUGGCGAAGGCGGCUCACUGGUCCGAUACUGACGCUGAGGCACGAAAGCGUGGGGAGCAAACAGG